UACGGGGGGGGCAAGCGUUGUUCGGAAUUACUGGGCGUAAAGGGCUCGUAGGCGGCCAACUAAGUCAGACGUGAAAUCCCUCGGCUUAACCGGGGAACUGCAUCUGAUACUGGAUGGCUUGAGUUCGGGAGAGGGAUGUGGAAUUCCAGGUGUAGCGGUGAAAUGCGUAGAUAUCUGGAGGAACACCGGUGGCGAAGGCGGCGACCUGGGUAGAUACUGACGCUGAGGCACGAAGGCCAGGGGAGCAAACGGG
rnacentral:rRNA from 1 species